AUUGAACGCUGGCGGCAUGCCUUACACAUGCAAGUCGAACGGCAGCGGACCUUCGGGUGCCGGCGAGUGGCGAACGGGUGAGUAAUAUAUCGGAACGUACCUUUCAGUGGGGGAUAACGUAGCGAAAGUUACGCUAAUACCGCAUAUUCUGUGAGCAGGAAAGCAGGGGAUCGCAAGACCUUGCGCUGAUUGAGCGGCCGAUAUCAGAUUAGCUAGUUGGUGAGGUAAAGGCUCACCAAGGCGACGAUCUGUAGCGGGUCUGAGAGGAUGAUCCGCCACACUGGAACUGAGACACGGUCCAGGCUCCUACGGGAGGCAGCAGUGGGGAAUUUUGGACAAUGGGCGCAAGCCUGAUCCAGCCAUGCCGCGUGAGUGAAGAAGGCCUCGGUUGGUAAG
rnacentral:rRNA from 1 species